rnacentral:lncRNA from 1 species
UCUUAAAUUUUUUAUUUUGAGACAGAGUCUCACUGAGUCACCAAGUUGCCCAGGUUGGGCACCAGCUUGUGGUCUUCCUGCCUCAGCCUCCGACAGCACUGCAGUGACAGGCGUGACCGUGCCAGGCUGAUGCUUGGUUCUUACCCCUGGGAGCUGCUGUGUCCUGGGGCAGCAUCUCUACCUCACCCUCGGCCCCAGUGUCUGCUGUGUCAGCCUUGGGUGAAGUGGACACACAGCCCCGCCGGUCAGAUGGGCAGCCGUGAGCCUGGCCCUCAGGACGUCGCG